ACCAAACUGUUGCCUCGGCGGGAUCUCUGCCCCGGGUGCGUCGCAGCCCCGGACCAAGGCGCCCGCCGGAGGACCAACCAAAACUCUUAUUGUAUACCCCCUCGCGGGUUUUUUUAUAAUCUGAGCCUUCUCGGCGCCUCUCGUAGGCGUUUCGAAAAUGAAUCAAAACUUUCAACAACGGAUCUCUUGGUUCUGGCAUCGAUGAAGAACGCAGCGAAAUGCGAUAAGUAAUGUGAAUUGCAGAAUUCAGUGAAUCAUCGAAUCUUUGAACGCACAUUGCGCCCGCCAGUAUUCUGGCGGGCAUGCCUGUCCGAGCGUCAUUUCAACCCUCGAACCCCUCCGGGGGGUCGGCGUUGGGGAUCGGCCCUGCCUUGGCGGUGGCCGUCUCCGAAAUACAGUGGCGGUCUCGCCGCAGCCUCUCCUGCGCAGUAGUUUGCACACUCGCAUCGGGAGCGCGGCGCGUCCACAGCCGUUAAACACCCAACUUCUGAAAUGUUGACCUCGGAUCAGGUAGGAAUACCCGCUGAACUUAAGCAUAUCAAUAAGCGGAGGAA
rnacentral:rRNA from 1 species